UACGGGGGGGGCAAGCGUUGUUCGGAAUUACUGGGCGUAAAGGGCUCGUAGGCGGCCAACUAAGUCAGACGUGAAAUCCCUCGGCUUAACCGGGGAACUGCGUCUGAUACUGGAUGGCUUGAAUCCGGGAGAGGGAUGCGGAAUUCCAGGUGUAGCGGUGAAAUGCGUAGAGAUCAUGAGGAAGACCAGUGGCGAAGGCGGGUCUCUGGACAGUUCCUGACACUGAGGCACGAAGGCCAGGGAGCAAACGGG
rnacentral:rRNA from 1 species